rnacentral:rRNA from 1 species
AGAGUUUGAUCCUGGCUCAGGGUGAACGCUAGCGGCGGGCCUAACACAUGCAAGUCGUGCGGAGGGGGCAACCCCUCAGCGGCGGACGGGUGAGUAACACGUAGGUAACCUGCCCUCAGGAGGGGGAUAACUCUGGGAAACCAGGGCUAAUACCCCAUAAAGCAAGGGCACCGCAUGGUGGGCUUGCUAAAGCCGAAAGGCGCCUGAGGAGGGGCCUGCGGCCGAUUAGCUAGUUGGUAGGGUAACGGCCUACCAAGGCGAUGAUCGGUAGCUGGUCUGAGAGGACGGCCAGCCACAGGGACACUGAGACACGGGUCCCACUCCUACGGGAGGCAGCAGUGGGGAAUAUUGGGCAAUGGGCGAAAGCCUGACCCAGCCACGCCGCGUGCCGGAUGAAGGUCCGAUGGAUUGUAAACGGCUUUUCCCAGGGAGAAAAGGGGAGGUCACCUCCCUCUGAUCGUACCUGGGGAAUAAGCGCCGGCUAACUACGUGCCAGCAGCCGCGGUAAGACGUAGGGCGCAAGCGUUACCCGGAGUUACUGGGCUUAAAGGGUCCGUAGGCGGCUCUGCACGUCCCGGGUCAAAGCCCUCCGCUCAACGGAGGAAAGGCUCGG